AGUGAGUGAGUAGUUCGCCGAGUUACUGGAGGGGAUUGUGAUUACUUUCCCAGCAAGCGUUGACUUGUGGGUUCCUCUAGUCGGGGGAAAACUCACAUUUUU
rnacentral:sRNA from 12 species